AGUGAACGCUGGCGGUAGGCCUAACACAUGCAAGUCGAACGGCAGCACAGUAAGAGCUUGCUCUUACGGGUGGCGAUUUGAGGUCGGGUGAGGAAUACAUCUGAAUCUACUUUUUCGUGGGGGAUAACGUAGGGAAACUUACGCUAAUACCUCAUACUACCUACGGGUGAAAUCAGGUGAUCUUCGGACCUUGCGCGAUUGAAUUAGCCGAUGUCGGAUUAGCUAGUUGGCGGGGUAAAGGCCCACCAAGGCGACGAUCCGUAGCUGGUCUGAGAGGAUGAUCAGCCACACUGGAACUGAGACACGGUCCAGACUCCUACGGGAGGCAGCAGUGGGGAAUAUUGGACAAUGGGCGCAAGCCUGAUCCAGCCAUACCGCGUGGGUGAAGAAGGCCUUCGGGUUGUAAAGCCCUUUUGUUGGGAAAGAAAAGCAGCAGGUUAAUACCCCGCUGUUCUGACGGUACCCAAAGAAUAAGCACCGGCUAACUUCGUG
rnacentral:rRNA from 1 species